UGGCGGCGUGCGCAGGCGUGCUGCGGCAUCUCCUGAAGCUAGCAGAUUAUCCAUCGGACACAGCAGGUAUCCCAACAGAAUCUGGCUCAAACCUCUCUUCCAAGAUAAGAGUUUCAUCCUGGAGAGAUGGCUCAGCGGUUAAGAGCACUGACUGCUCUUCCAAAGCUCCUGAGUUCAAAUCCCAGCAGCCACGAGAUCUGAUUCCUUCUUCUGGAGUGUCUGAAGAUAGCUACAGUGUAUAUAUGUAAAUAUAUAAUAAAUCUUAAAAAAUUUC